rfam:Drosophila mojavensis strain TSC#15081-1352.22 Ctg01_11806, whole genome shotgun sequence.
UCACAGGCUUCUCUCGAAGCCAAGCUUACUCCGUUAACGGAGUCCU